UCUUGACAUCUUAUAUAAUCUCCUUUAAUGAAUCAUGUUAUUUGUCAAAGUAAAAGUUAACUAUUCGAUUGGUUUAAAUUUUUUAAUUUAUUACUUAUUGUAUUGAGCCCAUCUAGAAAUGGAUUAGAAUACAAAAAGUAGCAAUUACAUUCACAUAGGUAUUUAACAUUUUCAAUUCAAAAAUCAAGUUUAGGUUUUAUUUAUUCAAAAAUCAAAUUAUAGUUCUAUAUUUUAAUAUUAUUAAAAAUAAUAUAAAUUAAUUUAUAUACUCACACUGCCAGACCCUAUCCACACCAUCCAAAUCAUAAAUCAUUUUCUCGCAUCUUCCUCCCCAUUCUCUCUAUCUUCAUUUCCCUCUCACGUCUGUCUCUAUCUCUCUGUUAGACCACGUCGUUGUCAGAGCGCCAAUCGUCGGAGACCACCUCUAAGCGUCGUUGCUGCAGCGGUGCUGUGAAGAGAAGUUGUGCAUCGUCAGUGCAGCGAUCCCUAUGCAGCCACAUAAUUACUAUUUGUUGUAGCGAUGCUGUGAAGAGAAAGUCUCGCACAUCGUCAUCCUCGCACAUCGUCAUCAUGCUAUCGCAGUGUUGAUGAGAACAAAAAGCCACGUGCAACGAUGUGAUCACUGCUUGCAUACGACUCUGCAUGAUACCGCUAUAGUGAUGCUCAAGUCGCGACUACAGUAGUGAUCAUCGAUAAUGGUGUUGGUUUUUUUGGUAGCUGGAGUGGUGGUGAUUGAGGUGGCAAUAGAUGUGGUGGUGGUGUAGAUGUAGUGCUAGUUUUGGUGUUCUUGUCGUGGUGGUGGUCACAAAUGACUAAGGUGGCGCUGGCGAUGAUGUGGUGCGGAAUUGUGUUUGGGUUGUGUUGGAUUGUUGUAAUCAAUUUUUUCAGUGAUUGCGACUAAUAAAGUAGUUAAUUUUUUAUCAUAAAUAAUGUGAUUGAUAAAUAAUUCGCGACCAUUAUUUUGUGAUUGUGACCAAUAAAAUGGAUAAGCUGUGAUCAAUUAAUUUAAAAUUUUGUGACUGUAAAAUAAGUUGUAACUUGUAAAAUUUGUAAUUUGUGAUCGAGAAAUAGUAUGCAAUCAAUUAAUUUGAUAAUUUGCGAUUGUAAAAUAAGUUGUGACCUGUAAAGUUUGUGAAUCGUGUUUUAGAAAAUAAUACACGAUCUUUUAUUUUGAUAAGUUGUGAUUAGGGCUAGGCGCCAAAACCCGUAUCUCAAAAAAAUCAAACCCCAUCCGACUUGAUUUGAGUCGAUUUCGGUCGGGUUUCACAAUUUUCGAGUUAGG
rnacentral:lncRNA from 1 species